GGGGGUGACACAGGUUUCGACAGGUGUUAUUUGACAAUAAAGUGCAGCAGAGAUUGAGUAGGUCUCGUUACAAAAUACUCACAAACCAAAAUGGCGAUAAUUCGCUUGACGGGUUGGUAGUGGAUUGGCAUCUUGCUAAUUCAGAAAUGGGAUUUGACAACUUCGUUGAACCUGUUUCAGAUUAUCAACCAACAUACGCAUCAGCGUAGGUUCUUGGGUUGUUUAACACCCGAGCAUAAAAUAAGUUAAACACACUCUCUUUUAUAUUUAGAGAAUGAAAAGAAAAUGUCAGUUACGGGAUAUGUUCUGUGUAAAAGGAAUCCACAUAGUUGUUUGUUGAUUACUACUAAUGGAAAUUAACUAAGCUGUAAAUGACUUUUUGUUUAAGACAUUCUGGACGAGGGUGCAAUUCCCUCCACCUCCACCA
rnacentral:tmRNA from 1 species